UACGGGGGGUGCAAGCGUUGUUCGGAAUUACUGGGCGUAAAGGGCUCGUAGGCGGCCAACUAAGUCAUACGUGAAAUCCCUCAGCUUAACUGGGGAACUGCGUGUGAUACUGGAUGGCUUGGAUUUGGGAGAGGGAUGCGGAAUUCCAGGUGUAGCGGUGAAAUGCGUAGAUAUCUGGAGGAACACCGGUGGCGAAGGCGGCAUCCUGGACCAAUAUUGACGCUGAGGAGCGAAAGCCAGGGGAGCAAACGGG
rnacentral:rRNA from 1 species